GUGUCAGCCGCCGCGGUAACACCGGCGGCUCGAGUGGUAACCGUUAUUAUUGGGUCUAAAGGGUCUGUAGCCGGCCGGAUAAGUCUCUUGGGAAAUCUGGCAGCUUAACUGUCAGGCUUUCAGGAGAUACUGUCUGGCUCGAGGCCGGGAGAGGUGAGAGGUACUUCAGGGGUAGGGGUGAAAUCUUGUAAUCCUUGAAGGACCACCAGUGGCGAAGGCGUCUCACCAGAACGGACCUGACGGCAAGGGACGAAAGCUAGGGGCACGAACCGGAUUAGAUACCCGUGUAGUCC
rnacentral:rRNA from 1 species